rnacentral:rRNA from 1 species
AUUGAACGCUGGCGGCAUGCUUUACACAUGCAAGUCGAACGGCAGCGCGGGGCAACCUGGCGGCGAGUGGCGAACGGGUGAGUAAUAUAUCGGAACGUACCCAAGAGUGGGGGAUAACGUAGCGAAAGUUACGCUAAUACCGCAUACGAUCUAAGGAUGAAAGUGGGGGAUCGCAAGACCUCAUGCUCCUGGAGCGGCCGAUAUCUGAUUAGCUAGUUGGUGAGGUAAAGGCUCACCAAGGCGACGAUCAGUAGCUGGUCUGAGAGGACGACCAGCCACACUGGGACUGAGACACGGCCCAGACUCCUACGGGAGGCAGCAGUGAGGAAUUUUGGACAAUGGGCGCAAGCCUGAUCCAGCAAUGCCGCGUGAGUGAAGAAGGCCUUCGGGUUGUAAAGCUCUUUUGUCAGGGAAGAAACGGUU